CCUACGGGAGGCAGCAGUGGGGAAUAUUGGACAAUGGGCGAAAGCCUGAUCCAGCCAUGCCGCGUGUGUGAAGAGGGCCUUCGGGUUGUAAAGCACUUUCAGUGGGGAAGAAAGCCUUGGGGCUAAUACCCUCGAGGAAGGACAUCACCCACAGAAGAAGCACCGGCUAACUCCGUGCCAGCAGCCGCGGUAAUACGGAGGGUGCGAGCGUUAAUCGGAAUUACUGGGCGUAAAGCGCGCGUAGGCGGUCUGAUAAGCCGGUUGUGAAAGCCCCGGGCUCAACCUGGGAACGGCAUCCGGAACUGUCAGGCUAGAGUGCAGGAGAGGAAGGUAGAAUUCCCGGUGUAGCGGUGAAAUGCGUAGAGAUCGGGAGGAAUACCAGUGGCGAAGGCGGCCUUCUGGACUGACACUGACGCUGAGGUGCGAAAGCGUGGGUAGCAAACAGGAUUAGAUACCCGAGUAGUC
rnacentral:rRNA from 1 species